CCCUUUUAACUCUCAAAGCAGUUGCAAAUGAAACCAUAGAAAUGGGUGCAAUUGUUGACAUAAAUUCCCGUAUUGGGAAGGAACAGAAAACAGCCAUAGCUAUAGCAGUUGAGAAUUAUAACCAUGACAAAAGAAACGACAAGCAGCUUAUAACAGUUCAUUUUAGGAACUCCAGCAAGGAUGCAAUUCAGGACCUUUCCACAGGUUUCAUAUUUGGCUUUUCAUUUAACAUCACAAGCAGCUUGUAACAGUUCAUUUUAGGAACACCAGCAAGGAUGCAAUUCAGGACCUUUCCACAGGUUUCAUACUUGGCUUUUAAUUUAACACUUAUCAACUUGUUGUAUCAACUUGCUCUAUCAGUGUAGUUUAACGUGCGAUAGCACGUUAGUUACCAUUUUAUCAAGUUACCAGUUAAUAAUUACCGUGGAAAUUUACGUUGUUAUUAUCUUAUACGUGACCUAAUUAUGUAAAUAAUAUCUUUUUACAACGUCAAUACAUGGAACUUUGACUCAUUUCAUAAGUGUUAAUUUGUCUUAAUAAUUGUGGUGCAGCUGAAGAAGUUGUUGAGAAAAACAAUGUCAAGAUGAUAGU
rnacentral:lncRNA from 1 species